CCCCUCAUGGGGAUCCAGCCUGCAACCGGGCCUGUGCCCUGACCCGGAAUCGGACCAGCAACCUGUUGGUUUAUGAGUUGCCACUCC